rnacentral:rRNA from 1 species
UGGGGAAUAUUGCACAAUGGAGGGAACUCUGAUGCAGCGACGCCGCGUGAGUGAUGAAGGAAUUCGUUUCGUAAAACUCUGUUCUAUGGGAAGAAAAGGACUGUACCAUAGGAGAAAGCUCCGGCUAAAUACGUGCCAGCAGCCGCGGUAAUACGUAUGGAGCGAGCGUUGUCCGGAAUUAUUGGGCGUAAAGGGUGCGCAGGCGGCUUUACAAGUUGGAUGUGAAAUAUUGUGGCUCAACCACAAACGUGCAUCCAAAACUGCAAAGCUUGAGUUAAGGAGAGGUAAGUGGAAUUCCUGGUGUAGCGGUGGAAUGCGUAGAUAUCAGGAGGAAUACCGGUGGCGAGAGCGACUUACUGGACUUAAACUGACGCUCAGGCACGAAAGCGUGGGGAGCAAACAGG